GACGAACGCUGGCGGCGUGCCUAAUACAUGCAAGUAGAACGCUGAAGAGAGGAGCUUGCUCUUCUUGGAUGAGUUGCGAACGGGUGAGUAACGCGUAGGUAACCUGCCUUGUAGCGGGGGAUAACUAUUGGAAACGAUAGCUAAUACCGCAUAACAAUGGAUGACACAUGUCAUUUAUUUGAAAGGGGCAAUUGCUCCACUACAAGAUGGACCUGCGUUGUAUUAGCUAGUAGGUGAGGUAACGGCUCACCUAGGCGACGAUACAUAGCCGACCUGAGAGGGUGAUCGGCCAAACUGGGAAUGGGACACGGCCCAGACUCCUACGGGAGGCAGCAGUAGGGAAUCUUCGGCAAUGGGGGCAACCCUGACCGAGCAACGCCGCGUGAGUGAAGAAGGUUUUCGGAUCGUAAAGCUCUGUUGUAAGUCAAGAACGAGUGUGAGAGUGGAAAGUUCACACUGUGACGGUAGCUUACCAGAAAGGGACGGCUAACUACGUG
rnacentral:rRNA from 1 species